rnacentral:tRNA from 1 species
GGGGCCAUAGCUCAGCUGGGAGAGCAGUAGCUUUGCAAGCUAAAGGUCGUCGGUUCGAACCCGACUGGCUCCACCA